rnacentral:tRNA from 2 species
GCCCGGGUGGUGAAAUUGGUAGACACAAGGGACUUAAAAUCCCUCGGACAUUAACGUCCGUGCCGGUUCGAUUCCGGCCCCGGGCA